rnacentral:sRNA from 2 species
AUGGCUGUCGUCAGCUCGUGUCGUGAGAUGUUGGGUUAAGUCCCGCAACGAGCGCAACCCUCGCCCUUAGUUGCCAUCAUUCAGUUGGGCACUCUAAGGGGACUGCCGGUGAUAAGCCGCGAGGAAGGUGGGGAUGACGUCAAGUCCUCAUGGCCCUUACAGGUUGGGCUACACACGUGCUACAAUGGCGGUGACAAUGGGACGCAAUGGGGCAACCCUGCGCAAAUCUCAAAAAGCCGUCUCAGUUCGGAUUGCACUCUGCAACUCGAGUGCAUGAAGUUGGAAUCGCUAGUAAUCGCAGAUCAGCACGCUGCGGUGAAUACGUUCCCGGGCCUUGUACACACCGCCCGUCACACCACGAAAGUCGGCAACACCCGAAGCCGGUGGCCCAACCUUAGGGAGGGAGCCGUCGAAGGUGGGGUUGGCGAUUGGGGUGAAGUCGUAACAAGGUAGCCGUACCGGAAGGUGCGGCUGGAUCACCUCCUUUCUAAGGAACCAACUGUCCGUGUCCGGCCAUAUCGGUUGGGUAACAACACGGAGAGUUCCUACGUCGAUCACUGGUUAAUCGACCAGACGGAAUUCGUCUCGACCCUCGGUCGCCCACCACCUCCUUCGGGAAGUGGUCACCGGCCGGGCACCACCGAGCGACCCGUUCGGUCGGGCUUCACUGCUCUGUUGUGAGGGAGCGCUUCCGCGCGCCGGCCUUUUCGGUCGGCGCGUUCUUGGCGUCCCUCCGGGAAAUGCGUGGAGAUCACCGCAUCGCCGUCGAGCUCAGCUCCGGUGGAUGCAACGGUGAUCGUGAGCGCUUCCCGACGCCGUCAUGCUCGCCAGAGCGCGGCGUACACCGUCCCUUGAGAACUGCAUAGCGAGCACGAGCAUCUUUUUUGAAAAUCUCAAGCUAUGAAGAGCCAACGGUGGAUGCCUUGGCGCCAGAUGCCGAUGAAGGACGUGGGUGGCUGCGAUAAGUCACGGGGAGCUGUCGACCAAGCUAUGAGCCCUGGAUGGCCGAAUGGGGAAACCCGG